rnacentral:rRNA from 1 species
UACGGAGGGUGCAAGCGUUAUCCGGAUUUACUGGGUUUAAAGGGUGCGUAGGUGGCUUGGGAAGUCAGUGGUGAAAUACUACAGCGCAACUGUGGAACUGCCAUUGAUACUAUCAAUCUUGAAUACAGUGGAGGCAGGCGGAAUGUGUCAUGUAGCGGUGAAAUGCUUAGAUAUGACACAGAACACCUAUUGCGAAGGCAGCUUGCUACACUGUCAUUGACACUGAGGCACGAAAGCGUGGGGAUCAAACAGG